UGGGGAAUAUUGGACAAUGGGCGAAAGCCUGAUCCAGCCAUGCCGCGUGUGUGAAGAAGGUCUUCGGAUUGUAAAGCACUUUAAGUUGGGAGGAAGGGCAUUAACCUAAUACGUUAGUGUUUUGACGUUACCGACAGAAUAAGCACCGGCUAACUCUGUGCCAGCAGCCGCGGUAAUACAGAGGGUGCAAGCGUUAAUUGGAAUUACUGGGCGUAAAGCGCGCGUAGGUGGUUUGUUAAGUUGGAUGUGAAAUCCCCGGGCUCAACCUGGGAACUGCAUUCAAAACUGACUGACUAGAGUAUGGUAGAGGGUGGUGGAAUUUCCUGUGUAGCGGUGAAAUGCGUAGAUAUAGGAAGGAACACCAGUGGCGAAGGCGACCACCUGGACUAAUACUGACACUGAGGUGCGAAAGCGUGGUGAGCAAACA
rnacentral:rRNA from 1 species